AGUGCACCUCUGCUUUGUAAGAUUACGCGCUGAACUUAAGCAUAUCAUUAAGCGCAGGAAAAGAAAACAACAGUGAUGCCCACAGUAACGGCGAGUGAACCGGGCACAGCCUAUGCUUGAAUCCGCGGUGGAUGGAACCGGAAACCGUGGAAUUGUAGUGCAAAGGACAAUUUGCAGGCCUUGGCAGUGGGAUAAAGCGACCCAAGAAAGGUCCACCAAAGAGGGCGAUCGUCCCGUAUGUCCCACGCGCCAUUGCCGACACGCUUAUUGUCCCUAAGAGUCGUGCAGUUUGAGAGUGCUGCACAAAUCCGCAGGUGUACUCCUGCGAAGGCUAAAUAUUGCACCGAGACCGAUAGCAAACAAGUAGUGCAAACGAAAGAUGAAAAGCCCUUUGAAAAAAGAGUUAAAAGUCCUUGACAUCGCUGGACGGUACGGGUAUGAUAUCCGCGCCCUUCGGGAUUUUACGUCCCACCGGUCAGUCAACCUUAUCGCUGCCCGCUGGACUGGGAUUGCGGUGGCCUUCCUAUGUUGUCGGUCCGCGAACCCUCGUUUGGACGCUGUGCAGUGGUGAGGGUGGAACGGAGGUCUGUUGCUGCUAUGGCCUAUUGUUGCUGAUGGAGGGAGCUCAAGCAUUAGUCUCUACGGGGACUAGUCUUGAACCUUCUAUUGGCGCAUCUGGGUCAAACGUACCAGCUCCCGGCUGAAGUCGGUAUCUUAUCACCCGUCUUGAAACACGGACCAAGGAGUCUACCGGAUGUGCAAGUCAAACGGUGAUACAAACCGUAAGGCGAAAUGAAAGUGAAUCCACGAUCACGGCAAUGUUGCUGUGUGCAGUGGAGCUCGGUCCUGAUCGUAUGUGAGAAGGAUCUGAAGUUGAGCACAUCCGCUAGGACCCGAAAGAUAGCGAACUUUUCCUGGGCCGAAGGAAGCCAGGGGAAACCUUGGUGGACGUUCGAAUCAAUGCUGACGUGCAAAUCGCUUGUCAGAUCCAGGUAAAGGGGCGAAAGACUAAUCGAGCUAUCUAGUAGCUGGUUCCCCCCGAAGUUUCUCUCAGGAUAGCUGGGAACCUUGAGUUGCGCCAGGUAAAGCAAAUGAUCAGAAGCAUUGGGAUGUUUUUUAUCUCAACUUAUUCUCAAACUCUAAAUGGGCGCGGAGCAUAGCUUUCUUUCAUGAAGCUAUGACUUGAAUCUCGGUUCCCAUGUGGGCCAUUUUUGGUAAGCAGAAUUGGCGACGCGGGAUGAACCGAUAGUAGCUCUAAGGAACCUAAGCCGUCGGCUUAGACAGAACCCAUUGAAGGAUGUUGGUGUAGGAAGACAGCAGGGCCGUGGCCAUGGAAGUAGGAAUCGGCCAAGGAGUGUGUAACAACUCACCUGCCGACUGCACCAGCUCCCAAAAUGGACGAUGCUUAAGCCGCGCUCCGAUGGGCUACCGCCGCAGCCGUAGACACAAUCGGCCGGCGCGUAGGGGGGCGUGGGGCACGGGCAGAAGUGUGUGAGGUGACUCCACAUGGACCGUGCACCCAGUGCAGAUCUUGGUUGUAGUAGCGAUUAUUCUGUGGAGGACACAGAAGAUUGAAGCGGAGUCGGUUUCCAUGUGAACAGUACUUGGACAUGGGUUAGUCGGUCCUAACCCCCGAGGAAAUCCUCCUUGGAAAGGCCUCGCGACAAGGAGUAGUCGUUAACUCUCUCUCCGGGGAGUUGAUGGUUACUCCGUGUUCGUAGGCAUCGGGGGACAGGGAACUCGGUCCAACAUUCCGAGACCCACCUGUGGGGAUUAGAGGCUGCAAAGCAGUUGACAACGGAAGGCCGCAGGGUAGUCAAGCCCGAGGAGAGCUUUCUUUUCUCUUUGACAUUGCUGACGCCUCGAAUAACAUUCCAGUUGGAGAAAGGCGUCGGAACACAUAGAGAAAGCGGUGCACUCUCAGCGCCGUUCGGAGCCUUGAUUAUCCUCAUGGAAGACCUUCCUGAGAUCUCAUCCCUCACGGGCGGACCGUACCGAUAACCGCAUCCGGACUCCGAGGUGAAUAGCCUCUGGUCCAUGGAGCAAUGUGACCAAGGGAAGUCGGCAAAAUAGACGCGUAACUUCGGGAGAAGCGUUGGCUCCAAGGGCUGGAUGUCAGAAGCCAGCAACACUGACGGUUCUGGGGGCUGUGGAAUAGAUGAGUUCUCGGGUCCUCGGAUCUGAGAACAAGUCGGUUCCACGGCACCCCCUGAUGGGUUGUUGGAUUUUUGGCAUUGCGAACAGCCAACUUGGAACUGUCGCCGACAAGGGGAAUCCAACUGUUUAAUUGAAACAUAGCAUUGAGACUCGCACGUUGAGGCAGUCGUUGACUCAAGGUGCGUCCUGCCCAGUGCUCUGAAUGUUAAUGCAAAGAGAUUUUAUCAAGCUCGGGUAAACGGCGGGAGUAACUAUGACUCUCUUAAGGUAGCCAAAUGCCUCGUCUUCUAACUAAAGACGCGCAUGAAUGGAUUAAUGAGAUUCCCACUGUCCCUGGUUACUAUCCAGCGAACCAACAGCCAAGGGAACGGGCUUGAAGUCUUCAGCGGGGAAAGAAGACCCUGUUGAGUUUGACUCUAAUCUGGACUUGUGCAGUGACAUUCGAGGUGUAGGAUAGGUGGGAGAUGCGCAAGCAUCAACGGUGAAAUACCACUACUCGGAUUGUUGCUUUGCUCAUCGCAUCGAAUAGGAACGGCAGUCGCCCAGCUUCUGCUGGGUUGAGGAUCUCCCCUCGGGGAGAUCCGUGGCUUUUCCGAUUCGAGCGGUAACCACAGAUCUUUCUGUGGGACCUAUCGCUGCGAGACAUUGGCCAGAUGGGGAGUUUGGCUGGGGCGGCAUAUCUGUUAAACUCUAACGCAGGUGUCCUAAGGCACACUCAGUGAGAACAGAAAUCUUACGUGGCGGAUAAGGCCAAAAGUGUGCUUGAGCUCUCGAUCUCCAGUACUGAUCCAGACUGUGAAAGCAAGGCCUAACGAUCCUUUGUACUCAUCAUGUUCAGAGUACGAAGUCAGAGGUGACAGAAAAAUUACCACAGGGAUAACUGGCUUGUGGCAGCCAAGAGUCCAUAUCGACGCUGCUUUUUGAUCCUUCGAUGUCGGCUCUUCCUAUCCUUACCCUGCAGAAGAGGUAAAGGGUUGGAUUGUUCACCCAUCAAAAGGGAACGUGAGCUGGGUUUAGACCGUCGUGAGACAGGUUGGUUUUACCCUACUGAAGAGUAUAAGGCGUGUUGAAGGUAAUCUGGGGUAGUACGAGAGGAACUCCCAUUUCGUGCUGCUGGUUUCUGCUCCUGGCUGACCAACCAGUGGAGCGAAGCUACGCACGAUGAUGUAUGGCUGAAAGCCUCUUAAGCCAG
rnacentral:rRNA from 1 species